CGCACGGGUGAGUAACACGUAUGCAACCUGCCUGCCACAGCCGGAUAAUCGGGAGAAAUUCCGUCUAAUACGGCAUAAUGCAUCGACGGGACAUCCUGUUGGUGCCAAAGGUUGAUUCCGGUGGCGGAUGGGCAUGCGUCGCAUUAGUUAGUUGGCGGUGUAACGGACCACCAAGACGACGAUGCGUAGGGGUUCUGAGAGGAAGGUCCCCCACACUGGUACUGAGACACGGACCAAACUCCUACGGAAGGCAGCAG
rnacentral:rRNA from 1 species